CCCAGGAUUAGGAGAUGAUUUUAGGCCAUCUUUUGUUAGCCACAUUAUUUUCCCAAACACUGUCCUUAUUGAAAAAAUUAUCCUUUGUUAUCCACUUUGAGCCUAUUUAGCUUUUAUUCUUUAGCCGGAUGAUAGGGGGUGAUGUAGUAUAUGGGAAUCUUUGUGUGGUGAAUAUCAUAGUGGUUCAUGAAAAAGAAGGGAUGAUAUUGUGAUACUAUUUACUCUUAUAAGCUCUAGAAAAGUUGUGGAAAGAAAAGAAAAAAAAAAAGAAAAAAAAAAAAGAAAAAGAAAGAGAAAAAAAGUAUAAAGUCGAGUGUAUAUUGAGAUAUUUGUUUGAAAAUCGACUUUGUGUGUUGGAAAUAAAUGGAGAGCAUAAAAGAGUGUUUAGUUCUAUUUUGUGAUGAUUAAAUCCCUUGAGUUGUGUUGUUUAUGGUGGCAUAGUUGGGAGGAAGAUGGAAUUUAUUCCAUACUUGAUUUGUGAAGCUAUAAGGUUGGUGUUCUUGAUUUAUUUGAGUCACUUAGCCUAUAUUUCCCUACCUUAACCAAUGUCCCUACAUUAUAACCCAAAGAAAAAGACCUUUCUGAUCUUAGUCCUGGCACACUUUUAGCGAUGGAGAUUGUAGACGAUUGGCAAGCCUAUGGUAAGUGAUCUACAUUGCAUUGAAU
rnacentral:lncRNA from 1 species